rnacentral:rRNA from 1 species
GACGAGGGGUCCUAGCGUUGUUCGGAAUCAUUGGGCGUAAAGCGUAGGUAGGCGGCUAUAUAAGUCAGGUGUGAAAUCCCCGGGCUCAACCCGGGAAGUGCAUUUGAUACUGUGUAGCUUGAGUAUUGGAGAGGAUAGUGGAAUUCCUGGUGUAGUGGUGAAAUACGUAGAUAUCAGGAGGAACACCGGUGGCGAAGGCGGCUAUCUGGCCAUAUACUGACGCUGAGCUACGAAAGCGUGGGGAGCAAACAGG